CNGCUUAUUUGACUCAACACGGGGAAACUCACCAGGUCCAGACACAAUAAGGAUUGACAGAUUGAGAGCUCUUUCUUGAUUUUGUGGGUGGUGGUGCAUGGCCGUUCUUAGUUGGUGGAGUGAUUUGUCUGCUUAAUUNGCGAUAACGAACGAGACCUUAACCUGCUAAAUAGCCCGGCCCGCUUUGGCGGGUCGCCGGCUUCUUAGAGGGACUAUCGGCUCAAGCCGAUGGAAGUUUGAGGC
rnacentral:rRNA from 1 species